CUUUACUGUAACCUGGAAUUGGGUUCGGGCUUUGCUUGCGCAGGAUAGGUGGGAGGCGUUGAGAUAUUCCUUCCGGGGAAGUUGGAGCCAUCAGUGAGAGACCACUCUGGAGAGGCUAGAAUCCUAAUGGUGAUCCUUUGAUCAGGACACUUGACGUUUUCAGGUGGGCAGUUUGUUUGGGGCGAACACCUCAUAAAAGGUAACUGAGGUGCGCAAAGGUUCCCUCGGUCUGGACGGAAAUCAGACUAAAGAGUGUAAAGGCAAAAGGGAGCUUGACUGUAAGACCUACAAGUCGAACAGGGGCGAAAGCCGGCCUUAGUGAUCCGACGGUUCCAUGUGGAAGGGCCGUCGCUCAACGGAUAAAAGUUA
rnacentral:rRNA from 1 species